GCUGUUAUGGCGGAAUACGGUAGACGCGAAAGAUUUAAAAUCUUUUCUUAGUUGGGUGAAAGUUCAAGUCUUUCUGACAGUA
rnacentral:tRNA from 1 species